rnacentral:tRNA from 1 species
GCAUGGGUGGCUCAAAGGAGUAGGGUGCUGGCCCUCUAUACCAGAGGUGCUGGGUUCAAACCCAGCCCCAGCCA